GUAACUAACUAAAAGACAACAGGUAUAAUUCAUUAUAGAGAUAGAGAUAGGUAACUAACUAAAAGACAACAGGUAUAAUUCAUUAUAGAGAUAGAGUUAGGUAACUAACUAAAAGACAACAGGUAUAAUUCAUUAUAGAGAUAGAGAUAGGUAACUAACUAAAAGACAACAGGUAUAAUUCAUUAUAGAGAUAGAGUUAGGUAACACUAACUAAAAGACAACAGGUAUAAUUCAUUAUAUAGAUAGAGAUAGGUAACUAACUAAAAGACAACAGGUAUAAUUCAUUAUAGAGAUAGAGUUAGGUAACACUAACUAAAAGACAACAGGUAUAAUUCAUUAUAGAGAUAGAGUUAGGUAACUAACUGAAAGACAACAGGUAUAAUUCAUUAUAGAGAUAGAGUUAGGUAACUAACUAAAAGACAACAGGUAUAAUUCAUUAUAUAGAUAGAGUUAGGUAACUAACUAAAAGACAACAGGUAUAAUUCAUUAUAUAGAUAGAGUUAGGUAACACUAACUAAAAGACAACAGGUAUAAUUCAUUAUAUAGAUAGAGUUAGGUAACUAACUAAAAGACAACAGGUAUAAUUCAUUAUAGAGAUAGAGUUAGGUAACUAACUGAAAGACAACAGGUAUAAUUCAUUAUAGAGAUAGAGUUAGGUAACUAACUGAAAGACAACAGGUAUAAUUCAUUAUAGAGAUAGAGUUAGGUAACUAACUGAAAGACAACAGGUAUAAUUCAUUAUAGAGAUAGAGAUAGGUAACUAACUAAAAGACAACAGGUAUAAUUCAUUAUAGAGAUAGAGUUAGGUAACUAACUAAAAGACAACAGGUAUAAUUCAUUAUAGAGAUAGAGUUAGGUAACUAACUGAAAGACAACAGGUAUAAUUCAUUAUAGAGAUAGAGUUAGGUAACUAACUGAAAGACAACAGGUAUAAUUCAUUAUAGAGAUAGAGUUAGGUAACACUAACUAAAAGACAACAGGUAUAAUUCAUUAUAGAGAUAGAGUUAGGUAACUAACUAAAAGACAACAGGUAUAAUUCAUUAUAGAGAUAGAGUUAGGUAACUAACUGAAAGACAACAGGUAUAAUUCAUUAUAGAGAUAGAGUUAGGUAACUAACUGAAAGACAACAGGUAUAAUUCAUUAUAUAGAUAGAGAUAGGUUACUAACUAAAAGACAACAGGUAUAAUUCAUUAUAGAGAUAGAGAUAGGUAACUAACUAAAAGACAACAGGUAUAAUUCAUUAUAGAGAUAGAGUUAGGUAACACUAACUAAAAGACAACAGGUAUAAUUCAUUAUAGAGAUAGAGUUAGGUAACUAACUAAAAGACAACAGGUAUAAUUCAUUAUAUAGAUAGAGUUAGGUAACACUAACUAAAAGACAACAGGUAUAAUUCAUUAUAGAGAUAGAGUUAGGUAACUAACUGAAAGACAACAGGUAUAAUUCAUUAUAGAGAUAGAGUUAGGUAACUAACUGAAAGACAACAGGUAUAAUUCAUUAUAUAGAUAGAGUUAGGUAACUAACUGAAAGACAACAGGUAUAAUUCAUUAUAGAGAUAGAGUUAGGUAACUAACUGAAAGACAACAGGUAUAAUUCAUUAUAUGGAUAGAGAUAGGUUACUAACUAAAAGACAACAGGUAUAAUUCAUUAUAGAGAUAGAGAUAGGUAACUAACUAAAAGACAACAGGUAUAAUUCAUUAUAGAGAUAGAGUUAGGUAACUAACUAAAAGACAACAGGUAUAAUUCAUUAUAGAGAUAGAGUUAGGUAACUAACUAAAAGACAACAGGUAUAAUUCAUUAUAGAGAUAGAGUUAGGUAACUAACUGAAAGACAACAGGUAUAAUUCAUUAUAGAGAUAGAGUUAGGUAACUAACUAAAAGACAACAGGUAUAAUUCAUUAUAGAGAUAGAGUUAGGUAACACUAACUAAAAGACAACAGGUAUAAUUCAUUAUAUAGAUAGAGAUAGGUAACUAACUAAAAGACAACAGGUAUAAUUCAUUAUAGAGAUAGAGUUAGGUAACACUAACUAAAAGACAACAGGUAUAAUUCAUUAUAGAGAUAGAGUUAGGUAACUAACUGAAAGACAACAGGUAUAAUUCAUUAUAGAGAUAGAGUUAGGUAACUAACUAAAAGACAACAGGUAUAAUUCAUUAUAGAGAUAGAGUUAGGUAACACUAACUAAAAGACAACAGGUAUAAUUCAUUAUAGAGAUAGAGUUAGGUAACUAACUAAAAGACAACAGGUAUAAUUCAUUAUAGAGAUAGAGUUAGGUAACACUAACUAAAAGACAGCAGGUAUAAUUCAUUAUAGUGAUACAAGGUAUGAUACAUUAUGAUGCACACGUAAAUGUAUUGCAAGACUUCAUAAUGACUGAGUAUCAUCUCCUUUUGAGCCUGUUGGAAAAACUGUCACAUACAAAGGCAGGACAUAUAGUGUUUUAUUAUUAACUCAUUCUAAGGAUAAUGCAUUAAAUCUGUUUGCUCUAAGCCAGGGGUGUUAAACAUAUGACAGGUGGGCUGCAUAUCAUCAGCAAAAUGAAUACCAAAGCAAGAGCAGAAUGCUAAACUAACUAUAACAGCUCUUAUGUAGUUGUAUCUUAAUACUCCAUAAGGAGCCCUGAUGUAAGGAAAUGGGAGCUGAAUUUAUCCGGGACAGGAACUACGCAAUGGACAAUAAUGUCGGGAAGGGUACAGUAUUUCCCUCUCAUUCAAAUAAAUGUCCAAACAUUGAGGUGGUUACAAUAAUCCGUGUACUAGAUACAGUCUACUAGAAAAUAAAUAGAGAAGUCUAAAUAAAGAAGGUCCAAUAAACUUCAAUGAAGGUAGAGGGUGAACUACCAACUACAUUUUCGGGAAAUGAUUUAUACAGUAUGCUAACUGACGGUAAUAUACACUUGAGCACAAUUUAACUGCACACAGGCACACUUUAACUGUACGCUGAUUCACUUUGUGUUUGUAAUUGUUUUGGGGUUGAGGGAUUGAAUGAAUAUCUAAACUGGAUGAGGAUUAGUGUAACUGUAACACCUCUGCCUGCCGUCCUCUGAUGGAAUGAAGACAAGUCGCAUAUGUUCAUUAUAUAUUCACAUAAAUAUAUAUAAUAUAUAUAGGACAAUGACCAUUAUAUAUAUAUAUAAGGGGCAAAAAAAGUAUUUAAUCAGCCACCAAUUGUGCAAGUUCUCCCACUUAAAAAGAUGAGAGAGGCCU